GACGAACGCUGGCGGCGUGCCUAAUACAUGCAAGUAGAACGCUGAAGGAGGAGCUUGCUUCUCUGGAUGAGUUGCGAACGGGUGAGUAACGCGUAGGUAACCUGCCUGGUAGCGGGGGAUAACUAUUGGAAACGAUAGCUAAUACCGCAUAAGAGUAGAUGUUGCAUGACAUUUGCUUAAAAGGUGCAAUUGCAUCACUACCAGAUGGACCUGCGUUGUAUUAGCUAGUUGGUGGGGUAACGGCUCACCAAGGCGACGAUACAUAGCCGACCUGAGAGGGUGAUCGGCCACACUGGGACUGAGACACGGCCCAGACUCCUACGGGAGGCAGCAGUAGGGAAUCUUCGGCAAUGGACGGAAGUCUGACCGAGCAACGCCGCGUGAGUGAAGAAGGGUUUCGGAUCGUAAAGCUCUGUUGUAAGAGAAGAACGAGUGUGAGAGUGGAAAGUUCACACUGUGACGGUAGCUUACCAGAAAGAGACGGCUAACUACGUG
rnacentral:rRNA from 1 species